GCAUACAAGCUGCAAUUGCCAGAAGGUGCUAAAAUACAUCCAGUAUUUCACAUUUCUUUAUUAAAGAAGUUUCGUGGGAAUGAUACUCAACAAUAUAUUCCACUACCAUUGACAACUAGUGAACAAGGUCCAAUAAUAAUGCCACAGGUGAUCUUAGCCAAAAGGGUGAUUAUGCAGGGCGGUAGUGAGGUACUCCAGCUGUUGGUGCAAUGGGAAGGCACUCCUCAAGAACUUGCCACAUGGGAAGAUGCUAAAGAGUUCAUGAAGUCUUUUCCUCACUUCAACCUUGAGGACAAGGUUGUCUUUAAAGGGGAGAGUAUUGUAAUGAGUAAAGAAAAUGAAGUAAGGACAAAAGGGGUAAUUCAACCACAAAGAAAGCCAAAUGCAGAGUUAGUUAGAGUUGAGGGACAGAUGGCAACAGAUCAAAUACGCAAAAGUUUGAGGCAAAGGCAAACAAAUACUCAACUCAAUGACUAUUUGCUGUAGGCAAUGAGUGACGCAGCUUCCACCACAGAAUA